AAUUUGUUUGUUUCGACGACCGCUCAACUACCCCAUCGCCACGUGUUUAAUGUCUGAACCAACUAACUUAUAGGCAUUGAUAUCUUUCUUUUCAAUGUUAAAAUAUUUGAAUUCCUCUUUCUUUGCUAAUUAAAAUAAAAAAUAAAGAAGAAGAAGUUCAUUUUAGAACCACGGCAGCAUCUUGUAUUAUGUAAUAUUAUAACAUGAAAUUGGAUUACACUUACA
rnacentral:lncRNA from 1 species